AUUGCAGGCUGCAACUCGCCUGCAUGAAGUCGGAAUUGCUAGUAAUCGUAGGUCAGCAUACUACGGUGAAUACGUUCCCGGGCCUUGUACACACCGCCCGUCAAACCAUGGGAGCCGGGAGUGCCUGAAGUCCGUGACCGCGAGGAGCGGCCUAGGGUAAGACCGGUGACUGGGGCUAAGUCGUAACAAGGUACC
rnacentral:rRNA from 1 species